rnacentral:rRNA from 1 species
CGUAGGGUGCGAGCGUUAAUCGGAAUUACUGGGCGUAAAGCGUGCGCAGGCGGUUUGUUAAGAUAGGCGUGAAAUCCCCGGGCUCAACCUGGGAACUGCGCUUAUGACUGGCAAGCUAGAGUGCGGCAGAGGGGGGUGGAAUUCCACGUGUAGCAGUGAAAUGCGUAGAGAUGUGGAGGAACACCAAUGGCGAAGGCAGCCCCCUGGGUCGAUACUGACGCUCAUGCACGAAAGCGUGGGUAGCAAACAGGAUUAGAUACCCUGGUAGUCCACGCCCUAAACGAUGUCAACUAGGUGUUGGGAGGGUAAAACCUUUUAGUACCGGAGCUAACGCGUGAAGUUGACCGCCUGGGGAGUACGGCCGCAAGGUUA